rnacentral:rRNA from 1 species
GGUGGUGCAUGGCCGUUCUUAGUUGGUGGAGUGAUUUGUCUGGUUAAUUCCGAUAACGAACGAGACCUCAACCUGCUAACUAGAUCUUAUUAUCUUAUAAUUUGCAUCUUCUUAGAGGGACUAUGUAAUCUAAAUACAUGGAAGUUUGAGGCAAUAACAGGUCAGUGAUGCCCUUAUAUGUCCUGGGCUGCACGCGUGCUACACUGAUGCAUACAACAAGUGCCUAACCAGACAUGGUAUGGCAAUCUCGAAUAUGCAUCGUGAUGGGGAUAGAUCUUUGCAAUU